AGAUUCCCUUUCAUUGAGUCGGUUCACUGAAAUUUUGCUCUCUCUCUCUCUCUCUUCGCAAUUAGCAACACCAACGCCGUCUCUUGCUGGCUCAACUCCAACGACGACCGGCGACGCGGCGACGAUCCUCACCACCUCGGCACCACCGCUGCUCCAUCAACACUACAGAUUUUACAUAAUACUAAUUCAGAAUAAAUGAAGCGCUAUUAUUCAAAAGCAUCCCCCACGGUAGAUGUUCCUUCUUCAUCAGUGAAUGAACAUCCUCAAAUAUUACCGAAUGAAGUGAACAUUGGAGUUGAUUCCCCACCUCAAGCAUCAACAAAGGGAAUGGAUAUUGAAAUCGAUUUAGAAAAUCUUCCAAGUGGUCCAGGACUACGACCUGAUAUAAUGAGUUAUCCACCAAAUUUAAUUGAGCAGGUUCGUGGAGCCUAUUUAUUGAAAGGUCCAUGUCAGCCACGGAAUCAUGACUUUUCUCAAAAAAUGGAAGCAAAUCGAAAACGCAAAUUUGUUCCAUUUUGGUUUGAUGAAUUCAAGACUUGGCUAGAAUAUAACAUUGUAAAAAAUGCAGUUUUUUGUUUAAAUUGUUAUCUCUUUUCAUCGGGGCGUAGUGAAAGGGGACAUGAUGCUUUUGUAUCAGGAGGAUUUAAUUGUUGGCGCAAAACAGAAAGAUUGAGAUAUCAUGUUGAAGACCAU